rnacentral:rRNA from 1 species
GACGAACGCUGGCGGCGUGCUUAACACAUGCAAGUCGAACGGAAAGGCCCUGCUUUUGUGGGGUGCUCGAGUGGCGAACGGGUGAGUAACACGUGAGUAACCUGCCCUUGACUUUGGGAUAACUUCAGGAAACUGGGGCUAAUACCGGAUAGGAGCUCCUGCUGCAUGGUGGGGGUUGGAAAGUUUCGGCGGUUGGGGAUGGACUCGCGGCUUAUCAGCUUGUUGGUGGGGUAGUGGCUUACCAAGGCUUUGACGGGUAGCCGGCCUGAGAGGGUGACCGGCCACAUUGGGACUGAGAUACGGCCCAGACUCCUACGGGAGGCAGCAGUGGGGAAUAUUGCGCAAUGGGCGGAAGCCUGAUGCAGCAACGCCGCGUGCGGGAUGACGGCCUUCGGGUUGUAAACCGCUUUCGCCUGCGACGAAGCGUGAGUGACGGUAAUGGGUAAAGAAGCACCGGCUAACUACGUG